rnacentral:rRNA from 1 species
UACGUAGGGGGCAAGCGUUGUCCGGAUUUAUUGGGCGUAAAGAGCGUGUAGGCGGCCAGAUAGGUCAGCUGUGAAAACUCGAGGCUCAACCUCGAGACGUCGGUUGAAACCAUCUGGCUAGAGUCCGGAAGAGGAGAGUGGAAUUCCCGGUGUAGCGGUGAAAUGCGCAGAUAUCGGGAAGAACACCCGUGGCGAAGGCGGCUCCCUGGGACGGUACUGACGCUGAGACGCGAAAGCGUGGGGAGCGAACAGG